AGAGUUUGAUCCUGGCUCAGGAUGAACGCUAGCGGCAGGCUUAAUACAUGCAAGUCGUGGGGUAGAGAGGGGCUUGCUCCUCUUGAGACCGGCAAACGGGUGCGGAACACGUACACAACCUUCCUUUUAGAGGGGGAUAGCCCAGGGAAACUUGGAUUAAUACCCCGUAAGAUGUUGAUGAGGCAUCUCAUUGAUAUUAU
rnacentral:rRNA from 1 species